GAUGAACGCUGGCGGCGUGCUUAACACAUGCAAGUCGAACGAAGUUGUUAUGUGAGCGUAAGGUGCUUGCACUGAACAAUCUUUUAAUAACUUAGUGGCGGACGGGUGAGUAACGCGUGGAUAACCUGCCUUAUGCAGGGGGAUAACAGUUAGAAAUGACUGCUAAUACCGCAUAAGCGCACAGUAUCGCAUGAUACAGUGUGAAAAACUCUGGUGGUAUAAGAUGGACCCGCGUCUGAUUAGCUAGUUGGUGAGGUAACGGCCCACCAAGGCGACGAUCAGUAGCCGACCUGAGAGGGUGAUCGGCCACAUUGGGACUGAGACACGGCCCAAACUCCUACGGGAGGCAGCAGUGGGGAAUAUUGCACAAUGGGGGAAACCCUGAUGCAGCGACGCCGCGUGAAGGAAGAAGGCUUUCGGGUUGUAAACUUCUUUUACCAGGGACGAAGACGUGACGGUACCUGGAGAGAAAGCCACGGCUAACUACGUGCCAGCAGCCGCCGUAACAC
rnacentral:rRNA from 1 species